rnacentral:rRNA from 1 species
GACGAGGGAUCCUAGCGUUGUUCGGAAUCACUGGGCGUAAAGGGUGCGUAGGCGGCCUGUUAAGUCGAACGUGAAAUCCCCGGGCUCAACCCCGGGAACUGCGUCCGAUACUGGCAGGCUUGAAUCCGGGAGAGGGAUGCGGAAUUCCAGGUGUAGCGGUGAAAUGCGUAGAUAUCGGAGGAACACCGGUGGCGAAGGCGGCGUCCUGGGACCCAAGUACUGACACUGAGGACGCGAAAGCCAGGGGAGACAACCGGGGAG